rnacentral:tRNA from 1 species
GGUGGGAUGCCCGAGCGGCCAAAGGGAGCAGUCUGUAAAACUGCCGGCACAGCCUUCGGAGGUUCGAAUCCUCCUCCCACCA